rnacentral:rRNA from 1 species
UCGACGGCAGCACGGGAGCAAUCCUGGUGGCGAGUGGCGAACGGGUGAGUAAUGUAUCGGAACGUACCUUUCAGUGGGGGAUAACGUAGCGAAAGUUACGCUAAUACCGCAUAUUCUGUGAGCAGGAAAGCAGGGGAUCGCAAGACCUUGCGCUGAUUGAGCGGCCGAUAUCAGAUUAGCUAGUUGGUGAGGUAAAGGCUCACCAAGGCGACGAUCUGUAGCGGGUCUGAGAGGAUGAUCCGCCACACUGGAACUGAGACACGGUCCAGACUCCUACGGGAGGCAGCAGUGGGGAAUUUUGGACAAUGGGGGCAACCCUGAUCCAGCCAUGCCGCGUGAGUGAAGAAGGCCUUCGGGUUGUAAAGCUCUUUCAGCCGGGAAGAAAUCACAUGGGUUAAUACCCUGUGUGGAUGACGGUACCGGAAUAAGAAGCACCGGCUAACUACGUGCCAGCAGCCGCGGUAAUACGUAGGGUGCGAGCGUUAAUCGGAAUUACUGGGCGUAAAGCGUGCGCAGGCGGUUUGUUAAGAUAGGCGUGAAAUCCCCGGGCUCAACCUGGGAACUGCGUUUAUGACUGGCAGGCUAGAGUAUGGCAGAGGGGGGUGGAAUUCCACGUGUAGCAGUGAAAUGCGUAGAGAUGUGGAGGAACACCGAUGGCGAAGGCAGCCCCCUGGGCCAAUACUGACGCUCAUGCACGAAAGCGUGGGUAGCAAACAGGAUUAGAUACCCUGGUAGUCCACGCCCUAAACGAUGUCAACUAGGUGUUGGGUGGGUAAAACCAUUUAGUACCGGAGCUAACGCGUGAAGUUGACCG